rnacentral:misc_RNA from 1 species
ACAAUUAUCGUAUUCUCCAGGCAUUUUCUAUGCUUCAUAUGUAAAGACUACAUUGAAGAUUUAGCAAGAAUACCACUGGAAUAUCUACAGGAAGCUGAUGUUAGAGUUGUUGUGAUAGGUCCUGCUCCAAACAAGUUUAUUCAGACAUUCAAGAAAGAAACUGGAUACAUGUACACAAUGUACACAGAUCCUGAGGCGGAACUUUAUAAAGCCCUGGGAAUGAAGAGUAACCCAAAUUAUGGAGACAAUGCAAAAAAGAACAAACAUAUUAAACAUAAUAUGGUCUCGGGAAUCUUCAGCAGUACGUGGAGGGCCAUGAAAUGCCAGGAGUAUCAGGGAAAUGUACGACAGCAGGGGGCAGAGUAUAUUCUUGGACCAGGUGAAGAAGUCCAUUUCAUGCACAUCUGUGAGAGUUCCACCGACCAAACUCCAAUAAAUGACCUUUUACAGUUAGCGGGGGUCAAGCAAGUGAGUUUUCCGAAUGACACAAGGGUCAUCGAUGUGUAAGCUUUGAAACAAAGGAGGCACCAUUGUGUUCAGAAAAUUUUAUAGAAAUAUUACUGCGCUGAUUAGCUUACUGUGUUGAUGUAGGAAAUCAACAGUGUUUUAUUUAUUUACAUCUAUUUCAAAAGUGAAUGCACAUCAAUUGUUGAUUCUGUAAUAAAAUAAUUUUGAAUAUGCAUUUAUAAUUCUGAACAUUUGUAACGUUCCAUAUAAGAUUAACAAUUAACUGGGUAGUAAUUAAUGUAUAGUAAUAUUAUGAUAAGUCUCCUUUGCAUACUGAGAAUAAAUAUAUGGAUCUUGCCUGUCAUGCAUGGUGGAGAAAUUUCAUUUUGUAUCAUAUUUUUAAAUCAGACUUACAUUUUGGAGAGUUAUUGCUCUUUGUGAAGGAGAUUAAUAUGCAUGUAACAAUGCUGAACCAAUGUUCUAUGGCUUGCUGUUACGUAGUACUACAGUGAAGAAGAAAUACAUUAAUAAUGUGUGGAGUUGGUUGUGUUUUUUUAAAAGUGUGUUUAUCUACACUUUUACAUCCUAUCGAUUUGUAUUUUUGUGCAAUUCUUUAUAGCUCACCAAAACAAUGCGAUAUUUUUUUUUUGUACUUUGAGUAAUUUAUUCCAAUAAAGUAAUUUAUGAAUUUAUCAAUCAGGAAUUGUAUAUACAUGUAUAUGUACUUUGAUUGCAUGAUUGAUUGCUGAUUUGCUGUCGUUUGUUCUUCUGAGUUUGCAUUUAUUUUUGAAAUAUUUUGUUCCACAGAAUGAGAUAUUAGGUUUAUAGAUUAAAAAAAAACUGUUACCGCUUUGGAAAAUUCAUGUUUUCCAGCUACAUUGUUUGUGUUAUAAAUGUAGCAAUUAGAAAAAAAAAAUCUACUGUUUUGCUGAAUGAUAUGUAUAAAGUUUAUUGCGGAAGAACUAUAGCUAUAUCUUUAUAAUCUUAAGUUUCCAAGAAAUGUAGCAAUUAGAAAACUUAAUUAGCUCUGUUCUUAAUUAUGAAAUGAGUAAGAGUUUGAGAUGUUCUUAAAUUAUAUACUGUGUAUAUCAUUUUUCAUAAAGAAUCCAUUUUCAACUGCAUUGUAUUUAUUUUUUUGUUGAAUUUAAUUUAAUAAAAGUAAACACAUAUCAAGCU